AUCCCAAAAGCUUCUCUUCUUGUUCCUCCCUGAAAGCUUAGCAUUUUCAGUUUCAUUUCUUUUCAGCAUCUCCCACAUAACACGAACAUCCUCAUAUUCACAAGCUCUUACAUCAUGAUGCAGCUUGAGUAACCCUCGUUUGCGAAUCCCAAUACGAAAAGCGACGCCUUUCCAAACUCUUCGCACAGGAUAGAUAACCUUAUCCCACCAUUCCAUUUUCAACUACAGAAUAGGCUCUCCUCCGGCUAAAGGAGAGAGGAAGGGACAGAUCAAAGGACGAAGGAAUCCCAAAAACCCAAACAAUAUAUAAAUCUUU
rnacentral:misc_RNA from 1 species